rnacentral:lncRNA from 1 species
CUCAUGCCUGUAAUCCCAGCACUUUGGGAUGCCAAGAUAUUCUUAAGAGGCAGCAGAUACCCACUGGAAUCCCUCGAAGCCUGGCAGCCCCCCACGGAGCAGAGGGGGCCCUGUGCAUGAGGUCUCCUUUUCAGCCUCAAAAUCACCAACUUCUCAUCAUUAAAACUGAGAGAGAGAGAGAGAGAGAGAGAACACCAAAGCCUCACCGUGGAAACACAUGAACACGAAUGAGCAGGCUGUAGCGGAAGCAUGCCAUCUACUGCCAUCUGCUUCUGGUGAGGCCUCAGGGAGCUGCCAAUCAUGGCGGAAGGUGAAGGGGAGCCAGUGCAUCACACGGCAA